AAAGAUAAUUAAAGCUAAGAAAAAGUUUACCCGGUAAGGUUUAACGCCUUUAACCUUGUACCAAACAAGCCCUAAAGGUGACCUUGACCCUUGCUCCUUUCCAUUCUCUGUCCUUGGGAGGCGAAAAUCCUCGGGCGCCGAUCAUUGCCGGGUAGCGGUCGCAGGAUUAUCUCACAUUAUAUUUGAUGGAAACCAAGUCUGCAGCUAAGCAAACAACCAGCUUUCCAUUGAGGAUCCUAAAAUAUCAACCAAAGCUUCCUCCGUUUGUUGUUCUGUUCUGAGGGUCCCGUGCAUUUUUUAAACUGUUUCUCUUGUAUCUCAUUGCCUAUUUGUCUUGGAAUAUUUGAACUGUUGCUUUUGGAAUUUUCAUACCAAAACUUUUGCAUUGUACUGUUUUAUUCAUUUGUAGCCUACAAAGAAUAAGAUCAAAAAAAAAUUUAAAUACAGAGAGAUGAUAAAAGGA